rnacentral:ncRNA from 1 species
UAGGUUUGCACCGCAUUUGGUGCUUAUCAUGUGUAAGCUUAAAAGGGAAUCCGGUGCAAAACCGGAGCUAUCCCCGUAGCUGUAACCUGAGUAUUGUUUCCGGCUCAUCUCAAUGCCACUGUCCAGCAAGGAUGGGAAGGCCGCCGGAAUUUCAGGGAGCCAGAAGACCUGCCAGUAUGCAAUAGAUCCA